GUGGGGAAUUGUUCGCAAUGGGCGAAAGCCUGACGACGCAACGCCGCGUGGGGGAUGAAGGUCUUCGGAUCGUAAACCCCUGUCGAAUGGGACGAAUAACCUUUGGGUUAACAGCCCGAAGGAAUGACGGUACCGUUAAAGGAAGCCACGGCUAACUCUGUGCCAGCAGCCGCGGUAAUACAGAGGUGGCAAGCGUUGUUCGGAAUUAUUGGGCGUAAAGGGCGCGUAGGCGGCCAUCUAAGUCAGACGUGAAAUCCCCCGGCUUAACCUGGGAACUGCGUCUGAUACUGGGCGGCUAGAGUUUGGGAGAGGGAUGUAGAAUUCCAGGUGUAGCGGUGAAAUGCGUAGAUAUCUGGAGGAAUACCGGUGGCGAAGGCGGCAUCCUGGACCAAUACUGACGCUGAGGCGCGAAAGCUAGGGGAGCAAACGGGAUUAGAUACCCUAGUAGUCC
rnacentral:rRNA from 1 species